UUCAUUUCCUUCUUUUUCCUCUUUCCUACCCACCCACUCGAGCGAGCAACAGAAGGCGAAGCGGGCGGCGAUGGCAGGGUGCACCGAGCUCGGUGAUUCUCAGUGUCAUUUCUCCACUGGAGUCUCCAUCGGCGACACCAACCAGUUCGAGGCUGCGGCAGCGACGUUUUGCCAGAUUUCUGCAGCAGCAGUGCUUUGUUGGACUCGUCCCACCAGCCCACACCCUUGAACAGCUUCUAGUUCAGCUUCCCAGCUUGGCUCCUAAUUAGCAGGCACCCUUUUCUGAUUAUUUUCUAUUUUUUUAUUUUUUGAGGUGAGCAGAUCAGGGGAUGCAUGGGUACUUUGUGUCAAGUGUAGCUGGUUCUCAUAUGAUCUGAUCACCUGAAAGUAGAGGUCCUCUGUAAAUGUAGCAAGUGGAUAUAUAUGGCUUCUGCUUUAGCUUUUAUCAGGGUGCCACCUAGUGCUAGCAGGCACCCCCUUUUCUUUCUGAUUUUUUUGUUAUGAUCUGGAGGUGAGCAGAUCGGGGGAUGCAUGGGUUAUGCCAUCAAUCUGUUUGGGUUGAAUUUGUGUGUGUUGCUUUUACGCUCUCAUUGAAAAUCUAUUUGAAUUUUCAUGUAGCUUUAAUUAAUCAACACGCUUAGAAAUGGUUAUUGGUAAUCACAUUCAUUUCCUCCAGCGUGGCCCUGUGAUCCUGGUGGUCCUUCGGGCAAAACUAUGGGAACAAUAUCCAUUUUGUUUGUUUUCCCUUUUCAGCUCUGUAUUUCCAUUUGUGUGAUUUGUAUAGCGAUCGAGCUGUUGGUGAUGUAGCGAAAUCCUUUUUAUGGGGGGGAUGAAUUCAUAUUCUUAUUCAUGUGUUUUUUUUCUUCCAAGGAGCAUUCCCCACCAAACCGCGCUGCUAGUUGCAUUCUUUUGAUGGUGUAGUUGCUAUCACCAAUGUAGGAAUGGAAUAUGAUGUAUUCUUCUUUUUCAUCAAUUAUUUAUGUUGUAACUUUCCUGUUCAUUUUUUGAGUCACUUUUAUUACACAAUUUGACAAUUAUAACUUGGGUUUUUCUGUUCAAUUGUUGAUCUGCUUUAGUUACAGUUCACUUGGUGUAGCAUGUAUUUGUGGCAUAUCAGCUAGCCUCUGCUAAAAAAAUUUCUAUCAUAAUUCUUCCCCAUUUCUUCACUACACAGCAGCACAGUUGUCUGCUUGGCAGUAGCAGUAGCUUCUUUUUUUAUUCAACAUGCCAUCUGAAUUGUUUAUAGUGUUAGAUGCCAUAAAUACUUCAUCUGAAUUGUUUAUAGUGUUAUUUGUUGAUUUUGCAUAUCUUAAUGCUUAUUUAAUGUAAACUGAUCAAUAUAUACCAGAAUAUGUUUUGUUGGUUCCUUGUGAUUUGCAUGUCGUAGUGCUUGUUCCUUGUUCAAUUGUUACCACAAAUUUACAAAGUAUUUCUGUAAUUUCACUUGACAUGAACUACAGUUUAUUUAAUUUGACCCAUAUAUACUACUAUUUGUAUACCAUCACCGAAGGUAUUUUGUGAAAUAGGAGGAAGAAGGGUUGAGUGAGACACUUAACAUGUCCAUCACUAGGAUAUUAACUCAGAAAAUUGUAGAAAUGCUCUUAGUAUUGAGUGUGUUAAAGACUUCAAUUAAUCUUAGUUUACUGACCAGCAAGAACGGCAUAACUAAUUUUUUUUAAUAAUUUGCAUGUUGUCAGAUUUAUAUAUGUGUGUUCCUCUCAGUUCGCAUCCUCCUAGCGAUUCUGCAUUCUUCCCAUGGAACAUGUUCUUUUGUUUUUUGAAUCACUAUCUAGUAGAAAAGCAUAUCUGUAGUACCUGUUCUGUAGCAGUAUUUCUGGUUUGGUUUAGUUAUCAUCAGAUGCUUUGCCUUCAUUGCUCCAAAAAUAUCACCACUUAAACUGCGUGUGUUAGUGUUUUUUUUCUGCUAGUGUUUUCUAUUCUCAGAUGCACUUACUUUGUCUAACACAAACACUGCACAUCGGCAGUAAGGAGUCAAUGCAUAGUCUUAAGAACCAGUACAUACCUAUUGAUUCGUUUUGUGUUUGUGAUAAUGCCAUUUUCUUCUUAAUGAGAUUGAAUUUUAAUGUUUUAUUAUAGCAUCCUAAUCAAUGUUGCAUAAUAAGGUUCGUAAUUCUUUACCAGUAUGUUAACUUUCAGAAGUAUUUUUUAUUUUAUUUAAUGUUCUUCCAUCUUUAGAUUUAUUACUACGUAGUCCUAGUAUAUUUUAUCUUUAGAUUUACCAGUAUAUUUUAGGACUGUGCAAUUAAGUGAAACUAAUAAAUUUUUUAAAUCACUUUUCAUUUAUCCUAGUUUGUUGUUGUUGUCAUCAUCUAAAAUGUGUUCAUUUGUCCGCAGAUAAAUAUUUUUUGUUAACCUGCUUUUCACCACCCCCUAAGACAAGGCCUCUACAACGCGAAUGAACUACCUUCAACGGCCUCUACAUGAAACAAAGCACGGAACAAUGAGCCUGGAAAAUUGUCAUUUUAACUUUUAUUAUGAGCUCAAAAAAACUACAUGUAAUUUUUAUUUAUUAUUUUUCCCCUAAUGUUCAUUGAAUUGUAAAUUAACUUUUAUUAUGCGCCCAAAAAAUUACAUGUAAUUUUUAUUUAUUAUUUC